GGUUUCGGAAGGUCUUUAGUGGUCCGCCCCUUCGGGGAGCGGGUCACUGGCCUCCUAUGUUCCUAACGGUCCUCAUCCGCGAGGGUGGGGAAUCAACCGCUAGGAUCGUUUACUUUGAGGAAAUUAGAGUGUUCAAAGCAGGCGUAACUCGCCUCCGAAUACGUUAGCAUGGGAUAAUGGAAUACGACUUCGGUCUUGUUUCGUUGGUUUCGCUUGGCUGAAGUAAUGAUUGAUAGGGACAGUUGGGGGCAUUAGUAUUUAGUUGUCAGAGGUGAAAUUCUAGGAUUUACUAAAGACUGACCAAUGCGAAAGCAUUUGCCAAGGAUGUUUUCAUUAAUCAAGAACGAAAGUAGGGGGAUCGAAGACGAUCAGAUACCGUCGUAGUCUCUACCGUAAACUAUGCCGACCAGGGAUCCGGAGAGUUUGCAUGGAUGACUCCCCGGGCACCUUGUGAGAAAUCAUAAGUGUUUGGGUUUUGGGGGGAGUAUGGUCGCAAGGCUGAAACUUAAAGGAAUUGACGGAAGGGCACCACCAGGAGU
rnacentral:rRNA from 1 species